UAGUCCACGCCGUAAACGAUCACCACUCGCUGUUGGCGAUAUACUGUCAGCGGCCAAGCGAAAGUAUUAAGUGAUGCACCUGGGGAGUACGCCGGCAACGGUGAAACUCAAAGGAAUUGACGGGGGGCCCGCACAAGCGGUGGAGCAUGUGGUUUAAUUCGAUGAUACGCGAGGAACCUUACCAGGGCUUAAAUGUAGUAUGACCGGUCUGGAAACAGGCCUUCCCUUCGGGGCAGAUUACAAGGUGCUGCAUGGUUGUCGUCAGCUCGUGCCGUGAGGUGUUAGGUUAAGUCCUAUAACGAGCGCAACCCCUGUUGUUAGUUGCCAGCGAGUAAUGUCGGGAACUCUAGCAAGACUGCCAGUGCAAACUGUGAGGAAGGUGGGGAUGACGUCAAAUCAUCACGGGCCCUUACGUCCUGGGGCUACACACGUGCUACAAUGGUAGGGUACAGAGAGCAGCCAAUGCGCGAGCAUGAGCAAAAUCUAU
rnacentral:rRNA from 1 species